rnacentral:rRNA from 1 species
CCUACGGGUGGCAGCAGUGAGGAAUCUUGGUCAAUGGACGCAAGUCUGACCCAGCAAUGCCGCGUGCAGGAAGAAGGCCCUAUGAGUUGAAAACUGCUUUUGUACGAGGGUAAACGCAGAUAAGUAUCUCUGUCUGAAAGUAUCGUACGAAUAAGGAUAGGCUAACUCCGUGCCAGCAGCGGCGGUAAUACGUAGGAUUAAAGCGUUAUCCGGAUUUAUUGGGUUUAAAGUGUGCGUAGGCGGUCGGAUAAGUUAGGGGUGAAAUCCCGAGGCUCAACUUCGGAAUGGCCUCUGAUACUGUGCGGCUAGAGAGUAGUUGCGGUAGGCGGAAUGUAUGGUGUAGCGGUGAAAUGCUUAGAGAUCAUACAGAACACCGAUUGCGAAGGCAGCUUACCAAGCUACUUCUGACGUUGAGGCACGAAAGCGUGGGGAGCAAACAGGAUUAGAUACCCGAGUAGUC